rnacentral:rRNA from 2 species
GGGGGACGCUGGCGGCGUGCCUAAUACAUGCAAGUCGAGCGGACAGAAGGGAGCUUGCUCCCGGAUGUUAGCGGCGGACGGGUGAGUAACACGUGGGUAACCUGCCUGUAAGACUGGGAUAACUCCGGGAAACCGGAGCUAAUACCGGAUAGUUCCUUGAACCGCAUGGUUCAAGGAUGAAAGACGGUUUCGGCUGUCACUUACAGAUGGACCCGCGGCGCAUUAGCUAGUUGGUGGGGUAAUGGCUCACCAAGGCGACGAUGCGUAGCCGACCUGAGAGGGUGAUCGGCCACACUGGGACUGAGACACGGCCCAGACUCCUACGGGAGGCAGCAGUAGGGAAUCUUCCGCAAUGGACGAAAGUCUGACGGAGCAACGCCGCGUGAGUGAUGAAGGUUUUCGGAUCGUAAAGCUCUGUUGUUAGGGAAGAACAAGUGCGAGAGUAACUGCUCGCACCUUGACGGUACCUAACCAGAAAGCCACGGCUAACUACGUGCCAGCAGCCGCGGUAAUACGUAGGUGGCAAGCGUUGUCCGGAAUUAUUGGGCGUAAAGGGCUCGCAGGCGGUUUCUUAAGUCUGAUGUGAAAGCCCCCGGCUCAACCGGGGAGGGUCAUUGGAAACUGGGAAACUUGAGUGCAGAAGAGGAGAGUGGAAUUCCACGUGUAGCGGUGAAAUGCGUAGAGAUGUGGAGGAACACCAGUGGCGAAGGCGACUCUCUGGUCUGUAACUGACGCUGAGGAGCGAAAGCGUGGGGAGCGAACAGGAUUAGAUACCCUGGUAGUCCACGCCGUAAACGAUGAGUGCUAAGUGUUACGGGGUUUCCGCCCCUUAGUGCUGCAGCUAACGCAUUAAGCACUCCGCCUGGGGAGUACGGUCGCAAGACUGAAACUCAAGGAAUUGACGGGGGCCCGCACAAGCGGUGGAGCAUGUGUUUAAUUCGAAGCAACGCGAAGAACCUUAACAAGGUCUUGACAUU